rnacentral:misc_RNA from 1 species
GUCUCGGACUCGACGGCAGUUCGGCUUCAGCGAUAGGAGCGGCGACAUCGGGAGCGACACCAGUCGCAACGCAGUUCCCUCAGAGCGACGAUGGAGCGAGACAACGGUCGCAGUUCCUCCAACGUCAUUGACCGGACUCCCCCUGUUCAUCAGGGGGAGUCCACCGUCCCCUGGGACUGCGCGGCCUCCCACCGCCCCCGGGGUCCCAGGGGACCCAGUCC